rnacentral:rRNA from 1 species
GUGUCAGCCGCCGCGGUAAAACGUAGGAGGCAAGCGUUAUCCGGAUUUACUGGGUGUAAAGCGCGCGCAGGCGGUUCGUUAAGGGGGGUGUGAAAGCGCUCAGGCUCAACCGGGCGAGGACAUGUCCGACUGGCGAACUGGAGGCAGGUAGAGGCGGGUGGAAUUCCGGGUGUAGUGGUGAAAUGCGUAGAGAUCCGGAGGAACACCAGUGGCGAAGGCGGCCCGCUGGGCCUGACCUGACGCUCAGGCGCGACAGCAUGGGGAGCGAACGGGAUUAGAUACCCGUGUAGUCC